rnacentral:rRNA from 1 species
UGAGCCAAGUUUAGGGUUUUCUCAAAACCCAAGCAGUAUUGAACUGAAGAGUUUGAUCAUGGCUCAGAUUGAACGCUGGCGGCAGGCCUAACACAUGCAAGUCGAGCGGAUGAAGGGAGCUUGCUCCUGGAUUCAGCGGCGGACGGGUGAGUAAUGCC